CUGCCCCUGCCUUUGGGGGUCGACCCUUGUACUCGCAGGACCUUAGGUGACUCUAUUCUACUUCUCUGAUCAUCCAGGAAGCCAACCUGCCUGAGGACGAGUCAUACUCUGUCCUCCCACCCCAGGCCAGAGAGUGGUAUCUGUCUUUCCACAAGUUGGAUCUGAAUGAUGCAGUGUCGCAAUCCCAUUUUAUAAAUGAGGCAACCAAAACUCGAACAGGACCAUAUUGCGACUGAAACAAGGCAUAACAGGUCUUUGACUGGCUAUCCUGUGGAUGUGGACUCAGGCUAGCCUGCGCAAAGUGAAAGACAGGCAAUUAGAUUGAAAAAUACCUGUGAUUCAAAGAAGUCACAAGUCACAGAGACAAACUUUUCCCAGUGUGUUCGAGUCAGAGAACCUUUGCAAAGACCAACAGGCUAAAAGAGAAAAUACAAUGUCAUAUGGAGAAGCUUUGAGAACACUAUGCUAAGUGAAAGAAGCCAGAUACAAA
rnacentral:lncRNA from 10 species